rnacentral:rRNA from 1 species
AUUGAACGCUGGCGGCAUGCCUUACACAUGCAAGUCGAACGGCAGCACGGGAGCAAUCCUGGUGGCGAGUGGCGAACGGGUGAGUAAUACAUCGGAACGUGCCCAAUCGUGGGGGAUAACGCAGCGAAAGCUGUGCUAAUACCGCAUACGAUCUACGGAUGAAAGCAGGGGAUCGCAAGACCUUGCGCGAAUGGAGCGGCCGAUGGCAGAUUAGGUAGUUGGUGAGGUAAAGGCUCACCAAGCCGUCGAUCUGUAGCUGGUCUGAGAGGACGACCAGCCACACUGGGACUGAGACACGGCCCAGACUCCUACGGGAGGCAGCAGUGGGGAAUUUUGGACAAUGGGCGAAAGCCUGAUCCAGCCAUGCCGCGUGCAGGAUGAAGGCCUUCGGGUUGUAAACUGCUUUUGUACGGAACGAAACGGCCUUUUCUAAUAAAGAGGGCUAAUGACGGUACCGUAAGAAUAAGCACCGGCUAACUACGUGCCAGCAACCGCGGUAAUACGUAGGGUGCAAGCGUUAAUCGGAAUUACUGGGCGUAAAGCGUGCGCAGGCGGUUAUGUAAGACAGUUGUGAAAUCCCCGGGCUCAACCUGGGAACUGCAUCUGUGACUGCAUAGCUAGAGUACGGUAGAGGGGGAUGGAAUUCCGCGUGUAGCAGUGAAAUGCGUAGAUAUGCGGAGGAACACCGAUGGCGAAGGCAAUCCCCUGGACCUGUACUGACGCUCAUGCACGAAAGCGUGGGGAGCAAACAGG